GCAAUGCAAUAAAGAAUAAAAGCUCAUAAAAAUGCCAACCAGUUACCUUCAGCUCUGUGUAUGUGAGGCUGCUCUUUGCAAAGUCAGAUACAACAGCAACAUACAACAGGUUGAUUGAGAAAGCCCAGCCACUGGCACAGAGGUUAGAUAUGCCCCGGUGCUCCUGAACAGGAGAUGGAGCCGGACUCCUAUGAAUAGCCAAUUUCAUGAAAUCAUCUUUGAAAGAAGUGCUGACCUGCUUGGUGAAUGCUGGGAUCUCUGGAAGAGGGAGGCAGACAUCACACACCAGCUGGCAAGUGGGAGCUGGCAUGCAACAUGCCCCAAUACCACUCCCCUCCUGUCAUCCCUAUCUCCUAAUGGUGCCUCCUUUUGGCCAAACCCACCUUUGGCUGGAGGGCAACAGAGCCCAUUGACAUAGUCCCCUUGCAUCUGCUACCUGGGGAGAAAAGCAGGAUGGACACUGAAUCUAGAGAAAUGAAGGAACCCAUCCAGAAGAAUACUGCUUCUUUAUGCUUUUGUAGGUGUACAAAUCAGGCCUACCCAUGAUAUUCUAAACUCCUUGAGGAAAGAAGUGGAGUCCUGGGCUUCUGAUGCAGCCUCCACAGUGCUCAGGGGAUAGCGACACUGGCACCCUAUAGAUAUUUAAUUACAUGUGGACUGGAAGAGACCAAGCAGCUUCCUGGUAUUUCAAUCAAAUCCGGUGCUCUAGACCUGUGGCUCGCUCUGAGCAAACUAUAAUGAGUUGAACUUGAAUCUGAUUCCUGCUAAGAAAGGUUUCAUUUUAAUAGGCAGUAAGGCUAUGAGCUAACACCAGAACUCAUUCGAGUUACUAGACUCACUGAAACUCCUCACAGGAUCCAUCUUUCAUGUUUUCUAGAUUUUGGUAUUCUUAUCUAAACUGCAGACCCAGAAACCCUAUGGACCCUACCUUUCCAAUUAUAUUUCUGGGAAGAGUCAUUCUCUGCAGAGCUGAAGCACGUAACAGAAAGUUCUCAACCUGAAAAAUAUACCUUCUGCACCCAAGCCCCACUUUCUGCCACUAUUUGGUAAUCUCAGGUGGGUGAGGUGGUCUCUGAACUUCAGCACUCUCAUGGUCAGAGCCACAAGGGGUUACUGGGAGGCUAAAGGGAAGUGGCAAAUGUGGCUGAGAUUCAGAAAGAAAAGUAGCAAGUGUAGAGAGGCAAGGACUUUUCCAUCUUUCAAAUUCCUUAAAGGAAGCCAAAGUUCAUUUUCCAGUCUCCUUCAGAUGCCUCUCCAAUCCUUCACAGCAGCGCACACAUACCGCAGAAGGAACUCACCAUCACAAAAAGAUGACAGAGCACUGGGGGCUGGGGUGCCACUUGUGUUGGCUGAGAGCCUGGAUGCAUGUGAGGUCAAGCCUGACCUUGGGAAAGCUGCUCUCUGGACAUUACUUGCUGUGCCACACACACAGCUUGGGUUUCUGAGGAAACAACACAGGCUCUAAGGAGGAACUGGAACGGGGCCCAGGGUAUAUCUUUUACAGCCCUUACUUUUGAGGAAAAUAGAAGACAAAAGGUUUUUAAAAAACACAAAGUGUAUACACAAAGUUUACAAGUUUGUGUGUUUUAACAUCUACUCUCCUUAAGAAUAAGUAGACAGGAAAGAUAUUACCUGAUAUGGGUUAAAUUGUGUCCCCAAAAACAUGUUUUGAAGUGCUAACCUUUGGUACUUGUGGAUAUGACCUUGCUUGGAAAUAGGUUUUUGCAGACGUAACCAAGUUAAGAUGAGGUCAUAUUUGAUUAGGCUGAACCCUGAAUCCAGUAUGACUGGGGUCCUUAUAUAAACAAGAGAGACACACGCAGAGUGAAGAUGAUGUGUUGAAACACAGGAACAGUGUCAUGGGAUGCUGGGGACAGCAGUUGGAGUGAUGCAUCUAUGGGCCAAGGGAAUGCCAAGGAUUGCCAGCCAUCACCAGGAGAGAAGCAUGGGUACUGAUGCCCUCACAGAGCCCUCGGAGAGAGUCAACCCUGCUGACACCUUGAUUUCAGACUUCCAGCCUCCAGAACUAGCGGCCCAGCCCUUGGAAUAUGUUUCUGCCACAACAAGGAAUAUAGGAGGAGUUGAACAGGAAACCUGCCUCCUAUCAGAUUCACCUGAGGACGUGGGUUGUCACGAGCUCCCCAAACAAUAAAGCACUUUACGACAUAGGAGGCAUUAUUAUUAAGCUGUUUUCAGUCCCUGAUACCUGCAUGUUGUAGGACCAUGGUGCAUGAAGGAUUUUAAGGAGGCACUUUUGAAAUGUGAAAGGGACAUAGACUGUACAUCUGGAGCACAAAGGCAGGUUUAACCAGCUUUGUCCUGCUCGGCGCCAGUUGGAAGAGAGCAUCUGGCUUUGAAGUGUCUAAAGCCAGGCGUGACGCUGGAUUCUACAGCUGGGUUUUGCUUUGUCACCCAGGCUGGAGUGCAGUGGCGUGAUGGAGCUCAGUGCAGCCUUCAAUCCCUGGGCUCAAGGAAUCCUCUCACCUCAGCCUCCCAAAUAGCUAGGACUACAGGUACACACUACCACACCUAGCUAACUUUAAACUUUUUUUGUAGAUAUGGGGCCUUGCUCUGUUGCCCAGGCUGGUCUUGAACUUGCUGCCUCAAAGGAUUCCCCUGCAUUGGACUCCCAAAGUGCUGGGAAUACAGGCAUGAGCCACCAUGCCCAGCCUACCUCAUUUGUUGAUAGCACUGAUUCCUAGCAGGGUUAUUUUCAUUCCUGGCUUAAAAAAAAUAACUUACCCUAUUUGCACACUGGAGUGGAAGUAAUGCAUUCAGUAAUUUCAGAACCUGAGUGUUGGCUGACAUCAAGCAACUGAGAUACACUGCAGCUGCUGUUGGAGAAGGAGGCUGGAGGCUGACUCAUGUUAUGUUGGCUGGCAGGAGUUUGAGACCAGCCUGGGUGGCAUAGCGAUAUCCCUGUCCUGUCUCUAGAAAACUAAAAACAUUUAAAAAAAUACUGGCUGGAUUUUCUAGCCUGCCAGACUAAUCUUCUUGAAAGAUUUAGACAUAAAUAAUUUAUUUUAGCCUUUGUCAUUAUUACUGUUAUGAUUGUAAAAUAAUGAAUCUUUUAAGUAUUUUUUGAAUGCUCAAGGUAUAUCUCUGAAAGAGUACCAACCAAAUGCUGAUAUUAGGGAUUAAAUCCAGUUUUGAGAGAGACAGCAAUUCAUUCAAACUUGUUGCAUGCAGGAUCCUAUGUCAAAGUGUAUAUGAGACGGCACUCCGCUGGGUGGCGGCUGCUGUGGUUUGAAUCAUAUGCCUUAGUAUUGGUAUUUGACAAUAAGAGUUGUCAAACUGAAUUUCUAGUUGGAUGUAUAGCCAAGAAAAGAAGAAGUUCUGAGGGAGCGGGGAACUUUGAGGGGUGGAGUGGUCCCUCCAUGUACCCCUAUAUUACAGAUUGCAGGUUCAUACUGAGGAUUUUACCUUGAGCUUCUGGGCUCCCCAGAACACUUGUGUGUUUCCAUAAGGGCCUAGAAGAAGUGUCUUCUAUUCCCAUGGACACAAUGCCAGAAUGUGAUUCCCUGGUUUUAUUUUAAGCUCUUUCUUCCACCCAGAAACACAACCCACCACCCCUGAGAAAAGAUGGGAAAUAAGUGGAUUAAACCAAACAUUCAGAAGCUGCUCAAUACAUUUCCUUGUGCGCUAAAGAGGAGGUACAGUGCUGGGGUCGAGAAAGCAGGGAAGGAGUCAGGGCAUGGGCACCCAAACCACUUAUUGGCCAUGUGUUCUGAGACAGGCUUCCUUCCUGGGCCCUGUCUAAAAACAAUGGGCAUAAUGACAACACCUACCUUAUAUGGUUAUUGAGAAGAAGAGGAGUUAACGUAUGUAAAGGGCACGAACAGGUGUUCGACUUAUAUAUGGUAAGUGGUCAGUAAGUGUAGUUUUUCUCUAAAAGACAGUUCUCCAGGCAGAGCAAGUGAGGAGGCCUUUUUUCCGCCCCUCAGCCAUUCAGAACUGGAACGCAGUUGUAUUUGCCCAUGCAUGGAGAUACUUCAGCUUUCCCAGAACUGAGCCCAUUUGCUAACACUACCUUUUCCCUAAGCUUCCCCUUGAGUACCCCUCUCUCCAUCUAGCUGUGAAGCUCUGAAAUGAACUAGAUCCCCAAAUGGCUGGUGGAAGCUGUUGGAAUAGAGGUGUUAGAGGAGAAGGCAGAGAAAUGUGACAGGAAUCCAGCAGGAUGUAGGAGUAGCCUGAAUAUGCAAGGGAAAACCUUGAGGUCUUGGCCAGUUUACUGUUUCUAGGGCUAAAUGUACCACAUCAAAGAAGGGAAAGGGAAGUUGUUCACCCAAGAUCUUCAGUUUUCUUCCCCAUGGCCUCAUUAUAGUGCCUUGUUUCUCUCUUGGGACUUCUGUUUUCUCUGCCUUGUAUUAUCAUUGAGUUCUUAAUGUUAACAUUUUUGCUACAAUUGCAGUCUUAAUGGAGAAUAUGUUAAAGAACAUGUAGAGAUACUAAGAUCAGACAAAUUUCUCCAAUUUCCUUGUGCUUAAAAAAAUGUGUUAAGUAUUUACUAUCUCUUCUUUCUAUUGCCUUCGAAAGAGAAAGACACAUUUGUUGGCCAAGGCAUUGAUGUGCUUCCAGGGGUAGUGGGGUGAGAAGUCUAGUGGAAGGAGGUAGUUUUGGUGGGUGAAGGAGGUGGAGUGAGAGAGAGGAAAGGUGAGGUAAGAAAGAGAACUUGCAAAAGUUGAAGCUUUUACAAAGCAGGGAGGAGAUGAACUUGUAUCAGCUGUGGUGAUGUGGCUUUGGGCGAGAUGCGGAAAGAGACGAGAAAAGAACUUCAAAGGAAGGUAUUGUUAUGCAUUGGGUAGUGCGGGUCUCUCUUCACUUUGUCCUCCCUUUUAAAAUGAAAAGGUCUUCAUUAAAGAUGCUCAUUGCUCUUCAAGUCUUUGGAGUUGGGUUUGUGUUGUUUUGGAAAUCUCGCCAUGCUAAGUUGGGUAAGAAGAACUCACUUUAUUUUGGAGAAGUUAUAGGUCCCACUCAAGAAGCAAAACAAGGAAAGUUGAAGCUAAAAGGUGCCCCAAAAUGUCAAGGAUUGAGUGUGGCCACUUUACCCCCAGGUCUCAGCAGGUCUGAAUAAGCCAUAGUUCUAUCCAACAAAUAUUCACUGAUGCCCUUGGAAGAGAGGUAACAGACAAGUAUAUUAAGGCUUAGACAAGGAAACUGGCAAUUCUCACACAAUGAGCACCAGACUGUGGGAGCCCAAAAGAGAGACAUCAUUUGCAGACUUGAGAAGGGGCCCAAACUACGUUCUGAAAAGUGAAUAAGGUGUAGGAAGAUAAAGAAAGAAACGGAUGGGAUGGGUGAAUGCACUGAGCUGGGGAGAGGGAAGUUUUUCUCAGGCCAGCUGCAUCUUCUCUACUGGGCCUGGGGAGAAAGGUGUGCUGUGGGAGAGAGACUCCCUGGACCAAGGCCAGGCAAAACCAUGGACUGGACUUGUCUUGUUCUCAUGAUGUGAACUAGAUGCUGAUGCUGUAGUGAAAUUCUUGCACAAUGAUGUUCACAGACACAUUUCCCUGGACAUCUGUGUCUCCAUGGAGGCUAGGCUGAUGGUCCUGAAGAGGAAACUCUGAUUCCAGCACUGGUGGACUGUAAGGCUGAGUGAACAGCCCUCAUUCAGCUUAUGUGGGACUCCAAACCUCCAUGAGGAACCUAAUUCACUGGGAGUAGCGACGAUACCCAUAGAGAAAGGUGGUGGGAGUUACUGAUUGGAUGACAUUAGGGACUUGGGCCUCAGAACAGGGGGACAUUUUUCCAUUUGCUCUGGGUCUUUUUCCAACUUAAAGUCAGCCAGAUAUGCCACCUCUUCUAUUUGGCCCACACUUAACGACUUAGUUCUGACUGCUGCCUGCCUGUCCACACAUCCUAUGCCCAGGUUAGACCCAUGCUUCUUAACUAUCCUGGAGUCUGGACUACCAAAGAGAGAAGUAGCCCAUCUACUUCCCCUGGUCUUCCCUUCGUCAUCUCUGUCUGCCCCCCAGCAACCCCAGGAAAAUUGGGAAUCUGCUUCCUAGGCUGAUCUAGCAUCAAACAGACAUAGGAAUUUUAUGCCCCACCCCAAACUCCCGAAUUAACAAACUAAUUUUUUUGUUUAUUGCAUUGUUUCUUAUGCAUCCCCCUCCCUCAUCCACAUGUACAUGACCAUGGAGACUUCAUUUACUCAAGAAAUAAAUGACAGGAAACAAAGUAACAUAGUGUGUUUUUAGCAGGAACAAAAGCCUCAAUGUGAAGGCCUCAGAGUUGAAUUUCUGGCUCUUACUAGUUGGUGGGAAGAUUCUGUGGGGUAUAGUGUCAGGAAUUUUCCAUUCCUAAAAUCAAACCUGAUAAUUUGAACACCAGAAGAAAGUCUAGCAUAUAGUGAAUGGUUGUGCUUUGAAAUUCAGCAGAGAAAUGGAAUGGAUAUUUUGAGGGAUUAUAAUGAGGAGAGAAGUGAUUUAUUUAUUUUUUUAAAAAAAGAUGGACUAAACUAGAGCAUUCAUAUAUACCAGUGGGAAUGACCCCAUAGUGAGUAAUAAGUAAUGAUGCCAAAGAGGGGACAAUUGCAGGGACAAAAGCCGGGAUUAGCAAGAGGCACACACUGUCCUGAAAAAGUCCAGGAGCUGGCCUUUGAUAGGAGGAGGAUCAAUUCUUUCACUGUGUCAGGAAGGAAGAAAGAAUUAGGGUGGAUGUUCUCGUGGCUUGGGAGAUUCGAUGGUGGGAAGACACAGGUGCUUCUGUCUGAUUGAUUCUAGUCUCUUGAUGGCUUUUGGGUGACAUCAAGUUCUGCUGAGUGUGGUGUUGGUGAUGGGAGUAUGCACUGGAGAUUUGAUGACAGAAGAUGUAAAAGAACUCCAGGAAAUGUACAGUGGAAGUUACUAGGGAGUUGAGUGCUUAUCGGGAUUUUUAUCAUUACAUUGAGGUUACCUGACAUAAUAAUAUGAGUGGGGUUUAAAACUAGAAAUUCGUCCGGGCAUGGUGGCUCAUGCCUGUAAUCUUAGCACUUUGGGGGGCUGACGUGGGUGGAUUGCCUAAGUUCAGGAGUUCGAGACUACCCUGGGCAACAUGGUGAAACCCAGUCUCUACUAAAAUACAAAAAAUUAGCCGGGCAUGGUGGUGAGCAACUGUAGUCCCUGUUAUGCAGGAGGCUGAGGCAUGAGAAUUACUUGAAUCCAGGAGGUGAAGAUUGCAGUGAGCCAAGAUUGUGCUACUGCACCCCAGCCUGGGCGACCCAAAAAAAAAGAAGAAGAAGAAACGUUCAGCUGUUGGGGAGAAGGUUCAGGGUUCAGAGUGUGUGGACAUUUUGAUUUGACAAGGGUUGGGGUUUUUCUAGGUGUGUGUAAAAAAGGGAGGGGGUGAAUUUGUUAAAGAUGUUUUCAAUGGACUGACUGUCAUUUUGGGUCAGGGACUUUAGGCUGGGUAAAGUGGAAAGAGAAAUAAUGAGGGGGUAAUAGAGAGUGAAAUAGUGGUGGGUUUCAUGCAUAGAGGUUUCAUUGAAGUUGAAGAAUUGUUAGUGACUAGGAGUUUAAUGGUAGGCUGAAGAAUGACCUCCAAAUAGAUCCUGCUUUUGCAUCUGGAAUCUGUGAAUGUUACCUUAUGUGGCAAAAGUGACUUUGCAAUGUGAGGAUGCUCAGAAUCUUGAGAUGGGGAGAUUAUCCUGGAUUAUCUGGGUGGACCCUAAAUGUAAUCACAAGUACCCAGCUGUACAAUGAUGAUGGUGAGUGUGUGUGUAUGUGUGAAUGUGCUGUACAAGGUGGAUGGCCAAGGGGGUGGGUUACUCUGAAGUGGACCUGAGUCAGUAUCUAGACUCCAACAAUUACUAGUAGUAUAAAUUUGUACAAAUUACUAACCUCAGCAAGCUUUGAUUUUUCAUCUAUAAAAUAAUGUUGAUAAUCCUGUUCACUUUAUAAGGUAUUAUGAAGAUUAGGUAAAUUAAUCUUUAUAAAGCACACAACAUAAUCUCCAGCACAGAGUAAACAUAUUGUUAUUGUUAUUUUGUUAUUAUUUUGGAAGGAAUUCUGCAUUGCAAACACUGAGAUGUAGCUUUUAAGUUAGCAAGUGCCUGUUUGUAUUUAAGAAAAGCAGCUCUGCAGAAUCUUCAUAGUCAAAAAGAAAUGCUGCACCUAAUCAGGGAGUAUUGAUUAGAGGGUGUGCCCCAACCUCUGAGAUGUCUCUGCAAUCUGUUCAUAAAAUGGACAGUGAAGCAUGAAGUCAUAAAAUGUUUUAUGGAAUAACCCAUGAAAACUUCAACACUUCUGUAAUACUUCUUAAGAAUAAUUUAAACCAUUCA